CCAGACAGUAAUUGAUAGCUGUGCUGCAAAAUGUCCUUGGAAUUUUUUUUUCAAAUGUUGGCAACUAUGGCACUGUAUCAAGGGAAAUGUGUUUGUUUUUUAAUAAUCCCUGGUGGAAAAUAAUGAAUCCUCCACCAGGGAUUAUUAAAAAAACAAAACACAUUGUGUCUGGGGCGGGGCGUAACAUGCGACAGGGGCGGGGUCAAACUGCAGCGAGGGCGGGGUUAAAUAUGCC